rnacentral:rRNA from 1 species
UACGUAGGGGGCUAGCGUUGUCCGGAUUUAUUGGGCGUAAAGAGCGUGUAGGCGGCCAUGUAGGUCCGGUGUGAAAACUCGAGGCUUAACCUCGAGAUGUCAUCGGAAACCAUUUGGCUAGAGUCCGGAAGAGGAGAGUGGAAUUCCUGGUGUAGCGGUGAAAUGCGCAGAUAUCAGGAGGAACACCGGUGGCGAAGGCGGAUCUCUGGGCCAUUACUGACGCUGAGGAGCGAAAGCGUGGGGAGCGAACAGG